rnacentral:rRNA from 1 species
AGAGUUUGAUCCUGGCUCAGGACGAACGCUGGCGGCGUGCUUAACACAUGCAAGUCGAACGGUGAACCUGCUUCGGUGGGGGAUCAGUGGCGAACGGGUGAGUAACACGUGGGCAACCUGCCCUCAGCUCUGGGAUAACUCCAAGAAAUUGGGGCUAAUACCGGAUAUGUCCGCUGACCGCAUGGUCUGGUGGUGGAAAGUUUUUCGGCUGGGGAUGGGCCCGCGGCCUAUCAGCUUGUUGGUGGGGUAGUGGCCUACCAAGGCGACGACGGGUAGCCGGCCUGAGAGGGUGACCGGCCACACUGGGACUGAGACACGGCCCAGACUCCUACGGGAGGCAGCAGUGGGGAAUAUUGCGCAAUGGGCGAAAGCCUGACGCAGCGACGCCGCGUGGGGGAUGACGGCCUUCGGGUUGUAAACCUCUUUCAGCAGGGACGAAGCGCAAGUGACGGUACCUGCAGAAGAAGCACCGGCCAACUACGUGCCAGCAGCCGCGGUAAUACGUAGGGUGCAAGCGUUGUCCGGAAUUAUUGGGCGUAAAGAGCUCGUAGGCGGUUCGUCGCGUCGGCUGUGAAAUCCCGAGGCUCAACCUCGGGUCUGCAGUCGAUACGGGCGGACUGGAGUUCGGCAGGGGAGACUGGAAUUCCUGGUGUAGCGGUGAAAUGCGCAGAUAUCAGGAGGAACACCGGUGGCGAAGGCGGGUCUCUGGGCCGAUACUGACGCUGAGGAGCGAAAGCGUGGGGAGCGAACAGGAUUAGAUACCCUAGUAGUCC